UAAUUUUUUGUUACUUUUGAAAUGGAAGUGUUAGAAAUUUAAAAUUUGAAAAAUAGAUAAAUAAAUUCAAGAUAACACAAUAGUGCGGUUUGUCCUAAUCAGUACUGAUUGCUUUUCAUACUUUUUAAGAUAUGGUCAAACUUAGAGACUCCAUGCUUGACACAAAAGCAACGCAAAAUCUUCAUGUUUAGGCGAUGUUUGAAGAACUGGAUGGUAUUCACCAAGUAGUUUUUUUGCGUACAAUACUGGGACUUCUCAUCAAUAUAAAAUAUUUAUAUUAUUCGAAUGGGUGGAAUCUCACAUGGGUUUUAAAAACUUUACAAUAAUUCCUUU
rnacentral:lncRNA from 1 species